GGCAGAGAAUGGGAAGAAAAAUCCCAAGCAGACCCUGUGCUGCCAGCAUGGAGCCCCACACAGGGCUCGAUUCCACAAACUGUGAGAUCAUGACCUGAGCCAAAAUCAGGAGUUAGAUGCUUAACCGACUCAGCCACUCAGGAGCCCCUCUGGAAGCUCUUCUCAAAAUAUGGACCAAAGACCAUAGACCUUCCUCUUCUGCAAUCACCACUCUCACGAUAUUGUUAGGAGAUUGUUUUCUUUCAUUAGAAUUCACGUGCACAAUUGAGAAUAGAAGAAAAGACAGGGAUAAGAAGCCAAAUAGGUAAAAUAUUACUUUAACACAACUUUAUUGAGCUAUAAUAAGUGACAAUUAUACUAUAAAAAUAUGGUGUUUUAACCUACAUAUACAACCUUGAUUCUAUCACUGCAAUCAAGAUAGUGAACAUAUUCACCACUCCAAACUUUCCUCAUUCCUAUUUCAAUCCAUGUCCCUUCCUCUCUUCCCUGUCUGUGCCCUGCUUUCUAAGUAACCACUGCCAAGUUCACUGUAGUUUAGUUUGCAUUUUAUAGAGCUUAACGUAAGCAGAUCAUACAAG
rnacentral:lncRNA from 1 species